rnacentral:rRNA from 1 species
UCUUGGUCAUUUAGAGGAAGUAAAAGUCGUAACAAGGUUUCCGUAGGUGAACCUGCGGAAGGAUCAUUAUCGAAUAAACUUGAACAGGCUGCUGCUGGCCUCCUCAUUUGAGGGGUGUAAUGUGCACGCUUGUCAUCUUUAUCAUCUCUCCAACUGUGCACAUAUUGUAGACCUGGAAGAAAGCUUUUGAAUUCAUUUUCGAGUUGGGACUGCUGUGCUUUUGAUCAAAGUCGGCUUUGCCUUGAAAUUUCCAGGUCUAUGUCAUUUUCACAACCUCUUGAUAUGUUUAGAAUGUUGAACCAUAUAAAAAAAUAUACAACUUUCAGCAACGGAUCUCUUGGCUCUCGCAUCGAUGAAGAACGCAGCGAAAUGCGAUAAGUAAUGUGAAUUGCAGAAUUCAGUGAAUCAUCGAAUCUUUGAACGCAUCUUGCGCUCCUUGGUAUUCCGAGGAGCAUGCCUGUUUGAGUGUCAUUUAACUUCUCUCAACUGCAUCACUCAGUCUGAUGUGGCUUGGACGUGGGGCUUGCAGGCUUUGAAUGAAGUCUGCUCCCCUGAAAUGAAUUAGUGGUAUCUGAGCUGCCAAUAGGUGUGAUAAUUAUUUACUCCUUUUGGUCAUGCUGGUUGUGCUGCUUCUAACAAACACUUGUUUGACAAAUUUGACCUCAAAUCAGGUAGGACUACCCGCUGAACUUAAGCAUAUCAAUA